rnacentral:rRNA from 1 species
GACGAACGCUGGCGGCGUGCCUAAUACAUGCAAGUCGAACGCAGUGGGGACGGGUGAGUAACACGUGGGUAACCUCCCAUCAGAGGGGAUAACACUUGGAAACAGGUGCUAAACCGAUACUGAUGGAUGGACCCGCGGUGCAUUAGCUAGUUGGUGAGGUAACGGCUCACCAAGGCCACGAUGCAUAGCCGACCUGGUGGGGUGAACGGCCACACUGGGACUGGGACACGGCCCAGGCUCCUACGGGGGGCAGCAGUAGGGGAUCUUCGGGAAUGGGGGGAAACCUGGCCGGGCAACGGCGCGGGAGUGAAGGAGGUUUUCGGAUCGUAAAGCUCUGUUGUUAAGGAAGCGGUACUUAACCAGAAAGGGACGGCUAACUACGUGCCAGCAGCCGCGGUAAUAC